GAUUUGACGGUAGCUCUAGAAACAUCGACUCUUUCAUCUCUUUUCACAAAGAAAUGCUCCUCCAGUUUUUUGCUCGAAUCUCUUCAUCUUCUUAAUUGGGUGGCAUUUGAUGACGGGAUUCAGGCCUUUUUGGUUGUAGUUUCAGGCUCCAUCAGGACCUGGUCAUUUCAGUAACGAAUUUUCAUAAUGAAGACAGAGGUUUUAUGUGUUUGGCUGAGGAUGUUUUUGAUGUGCCAAUUAGGAAGGAUAUUAUUCAUCGUGUUGUGAGAUGGCAACUAGUAAAACAACAUCAGGGAACCCAUUCAACUAAAACCAUUAGUGAAGUUAUUGGGACUGGUAGAAAACCGUGGAGGCGGAAGAGAACUGGGCGAACAAGGCCUGGAACACUGUGUGGUGCUCAGGUUCUACUUAUGUAUAUUGCUUUGAUGUAAAGAGUAUAUCUUUCUGCUAAGUAAUUUUGAAUCACUUUUUAGGGCAAAAGUUUCUUGUAAAUGUAAAAUAUCCUACAUAAUCUCCUUCUCUUGAAUUUUCAAUCUUUCAAAA